rnacentral:rRNA from 1 species
GUCCAGACUCCUACGGGAGGCAGCAGUGGGGAAUAUUGCACAAUGGGGGAAACCCUGAUGCAGCGACGCCGCGUGAGUGAAGAAGUAUUUCGGUAUGUAAAGCUCUAUCAGCAGGGAAGAAAAUGACGGUACCUGACCAAGAAGCCCCGGCUAACUACGUGCCAGCAGCCGCGGUAAUACGUAGGGGGCAAGCGUUAUCCGGAUUUACUGGGUGUAAAGGGAGCGUAGACGGUUGUGCAAGUCAGAAGUGAAAGCCCGGGGCUCAACUCCGGGACUGCUUUUGAAACUGUGAAACUGGAGUGCAGGAGAGGUAAGCGGAAUUCCUAGUGUAGCGGUGAAAUGCGUAGAUAUUAGGAGGAACACCAGUGGCGAAGGCGGCUUGCUGGACAGUAACUGACGUUGAGGCUCGAAAGCGUGGGGAGCAAACAGGAUUAGAUACCCCCGUAAG